rnacentral:rRNA from 1 species
CUACCAGACUCCUACGGGAGGCAGCAGUGGGGAAUAUUGGGCAAUGGGCGCAAGCCUGACCCAGCAACGCCGCGUGAAGGAAGAAGGCUUUCGGGCUGUAAACUUCUUUUGUCAGGGACGAAGCAAGUGACGGUACCUGACGAAUAAGCCACGGCUAACUACGUGCCAGCAGCCGCGGUAAUACGUAGGUGGCAAGCGUUAUCCGGAUUUACUGGGUGUAAAGGGAGCGUAGACGGCAUGGCAAGUCAGAUGUGAAAGCCCGGGGCUCAACCCCGGGACUGCAUUUGAAACUGUCAGGCUGGAGUGCAGGAGAGGUAAGUGGAAUUCCUAGUGUAGCGGUGAAAUGCGUAGAUAUUAGGAGGAACACCAGUGGCGAAGGCGGCCUGCUGGACGAUGACUGACGUUGAGGCUCGAAAGCGUGGGGAGCAAACAGGAUUAGAUACCCCAGUA